AGUCGCAAAUCAAACAGGGUUCUCUGGCUCACGGGGAAGUCAUUCGCUCUUGUGACCCGCGUGCCUGGCCUCGGGCUGAGCCCCGAGCGAGCGUGGCCCCUGUCCGCUGGGAGUCCCAGGGCGAGGACACGCGCUUCGCCCGUUAUCGCAAGUCUGGGUCUGGUCACCCGCUGGGGCCGCGCAGAGUGGCAGGAAGGAAAAACGCGGGGCAGAAUGUGUGAGCAUGUGUGCAUAUCGCACUAGGUCCCCGUGCGAUAAUUAAGGUACAUUUCUGAUCGUGGUGGUAGUCAGGAAGUAAUGACAGAAAAGUAGCUACGGAGAUGAUGGGCGCAAAAAAGUAAAACCAAAGCAAUAAAACAGAAUGUAAAGAUUUGGUAAAGGUGACUGAGCGGUCUUGCCAAGUUGCCCAAGUGGAAUUUGAACUUG